rnacentral:lncRNA from 1 species
UUUAAUUCAAUAAUAUAAAAUUUAAAGAAUUUCAUAACUCUUUUAGCAUCACACUCUAUCUUAUUUUUAGCACGCACUCAAAUGAAUGGAUAGACAAAAGUCACCAAUUAUGUUAUUAUGGAAGGACCGAUGCUAAAGGGAUUAACGAGCUUUCAAGUAUCAUCUAAAGCUAUCAAACAAUACCUAGAUAGUCCAACAAAAUAGUUAUUCACC